GACGAACGCUGGCGGCGUGCCUAAUACAUGCAAGUCGAACGCAGUGGGGAUGGGUGAGUAACACGUGGGUAAUCUCCCAGCAGAGGGGAUAACACUUGGAAACCGGUGCUAAACUGAUACUGAUGGAUGGAGCCGCGGGGCUUUAGCUAGUGGGUGAGGUAACGGCUCACCAAGUCGACGAUGCCUAGCCGACCUGAGAGGAUGACCGGCCACACUGGGACUGAGACACGGCCCAGACUCCUACGGGAGGCAGCAGUAGGGAAUCUUCCGCAAUGGACGAAAGUCUGACGGAGCAACGCCGCGUGAAUGAAGAAGGUUUUCGGUUCGUAAAACUCUGUUGUUAGAGAAGCGGUAUCUAACCAGAAAGCAACGGCUAACUACGUGCCAGCCGCCGCGGUAAUUC
rnacentral:rRNA from 1 species